UACGAAGGGGGCUAGCGUUGUUCGGAAUCACUGGGCGUAAAGCGCACGUAGGCGGAUCUUUAAGUCAGGGUGAAAUCCCGAGGCUCAACCUCGGAACUGCCUUUGAUACUGGGGAUCUCGAGUCCGGGAGAGGUGAGUGGAACUGCGAGUGUAGAGGUGAAAUUCGUAGAUAUUCGCAAGAACACCAGUGGCGAAGGCGGCUCACUGGCCCGGUACUGACGCUGAGGUGCGAAAGCGUGGGAGCAAACAGGG
rnacentral:rRNA from 1 species